rnacentral:rRNA from 1 species
AUGGGGAUCCGGUUCGUGCUGCUGGUGAACAAGCAGGGGCAGACGCGGCUGGCGCAGUACUACGAGCACCUCUCCCUCGACGAGCGCCGCGCCCUCGAGGGCGAGAUCGUCCGCAAGUGCCUCGCCCGCACCGACCAGCAGUGCUCUUUCGUGGAGCACCGGAACUACAAGGUCGUCUACCGGCGCUACGCCUCCCUCUUCUUCCUCGUCGGCGUCGACAACGAUGAGAAUGAGUUAGCCAUCCUUGAAUUCAUACAUCUUCUCGUGGAAACCAUGGACCGUCACUUUGGCAACGUGUGUGAGCUUGACAUCAUGUUCCAUCUGGAGAAAGUCCACUUCAUGCUUGAAGAGAUGGUGAUGAAUGGUUGCAUCGUGGAGACGAGCAAACAGAACAUAUUGGCGCCCAUCCAGCUUAUGGAGAAAACCUCGUAA